CUAAGCGCUCUAACCUCGGCAUCAACUAACUUUGGGAAACUAAGGCUAAAAGCUGAGGAUGAGGCUUAGCACUAUCAGCUAGUAGGUAGUGUAAUGGACUACCUAGGCGGUGACGGUUAACGGGAUACAAGAGUGUGAUACCGGAAAGGGAGCCUGAGAAACAGCUCCUACAUCCAAGGAUGGCAGCAGGCGCGAAAAUUGUCCACUCUUUGCAGGAAACAGUUAUGAAAAGUAAAAAAGGUAGGUCUUGUAAAGAAAGAUUCUAAAAUUGGAGGGCAAGUUUGGUGCCAGCAGCCGCGGUAAUACCAACUCCAAAAGUGUGUAUGAAAGUUGUUGCAGUUAAAAGGUCCGUAGUCGUUCAUGGAAAUAAGGCUUUGGCCUGCAUUUAAUGUGGAGGGGCUGAUGGGGACCAUAGUAUACAGGGGCGAGAGAUGAAAUGUCUAAACCCUCUGUGGACUCAGCGAGGCGAAAGCGGUGGUCUAGUAAGUACUCGGUGAUCAAGGACAAAGGGUAGAGGAGCGAAAGUGAUUAGAUACCGCUGUAGUUUUACCAGUAAAAGAUGCCGACUAUCCUGGCGUGUGCGGGCGCAAGCAAUGCGCAGGCUGGAAAUAGAGAAAUCGAUAAGUGUUCGGGCUCUGGGGAUAGUAUGCUCGCAAGAGUGAAAAUUAAAGAAAUUGACGGAGCUACACCACAAGGAGUGGAUUGUGCGGCUUAAUUUGACUCAACGCGAGGAAACUUACCAGGCCCUUUUGCACCUAAGAUACAAGGUGCGAAGGAAUGGUGCAUGGUCGUUGGAAAUUCAUGAGAUGACUUUGAGCUUAAAUGCUUGAAUGAAUGA
rnacentral:rRNA from 1 species